rnacentral:rRNA from 1 species
UGGUUCCUACGGGGGGCAGCAGUGGGGAAUAUUGCACAAUGGGGGAAACCCUGAUGCAGCAACGCCGCGUGAGUGAGGAAGUAUUUCGGUAUGUAAAGCUCUAUCAGCAGGGAAUAGAAAAGAAGGUACCUGAAAAAGAAGCCCCGGCUAACUACGUGCCAGCAGCCGCGGUAAUACGUAGGUAGCAAGCGUUAUCCGGAUUUAUUGGGUGUAAAGGGCGUGUAGGCGGGAAUGCAAGUCAGAUGUGAAAACUAUGGGCUCAACCCAUAGCCUGCAUUUGAAACUGUAUUUCUUGAGUGCUGGAG